rnacentral:rRNA from 1 species
UUCCGGUUGAUCCUGCCGGAGGCUACCGCUAUUGGAGUUCGAUUAAGCCAUGCGAGUCCAGAGCUUUCGGAGCUCGGCGUACCGCUCAGUAACACGUGGGUAACCUAACCUAUGCAGGGGAAUAACCUCGGGAAACUGAGAAUAAUGCCCCAUAGUCCACUACGCCUGGAACGGUGAGUGGAUGAAAGCUCAGGCGGCAUAGGAUGGGCCUGCGGCGUAUCAGGUUGUAGGGGGUGUAAAGUACCCUCUAGCCCUCUACGCGUACGGGUGUUGGGAGACAUAGCCCGGAGAUGGAUUCUGAGACACGAAUCCAGACCCUACGGGGUGCAGCAGGCGCGAAAACUUGGCAAUGCGAGCAAUCGUGACCAGGGAACUCCAAGUGGCUGGGGUAAGACCCAGUCUUUUCAGAACUCUUCAAAGGUUUUAGAAUAAGGGGUGGGUAAGGACGGUGCCAGCCGCCGCGGUAAUACCGGCGCCUCAAGUGGUAGUCGCUUUUAUUGGGCCUAAAACGUCCGUAGCCGGUUUGGUACAUUCGUGGGUAAAUCAACUCGCUCAACGAGUUGAAUUCUGCGAGGACGGCCAGACUUGGGACCGGGAGAGGUGUGGGGUACUCUCAGGGUAGGGGUAAAAUCCUGUCAUCCUGAGAGGACCACCUGUUGCGAAGGCGCCACACUAGAACGGAUCCGACGGUCAGGGACGAAGCCUAGGGGCACGAACCGGAUUAGAUACCCGGGUAGUCCUAGGUGUAAACGCUGUGGACUUGAUGUUGGAGGAGCUCCGAGCUCUUUCAGUGUCGAAGCGAAGGUGAUAAGUCCACUGCCUGGGAAGUACGGUCGCAAGGCUGAAACUUAAAGGAAUUGGCGGGGGAGCACCGCAACCUGAGGAUUGUGCGGUUUAAUUGGAUUCAACGCCGGA